rnacentral:sRNA from 13 species
GCUGGGCAUGGUGGUGCGUGCCUGUAGUCCCAGCUACUUGGGAGGCUGAGGCAGGAGAAUUGCCUGAACCCAGGAGGUGGAGGUUGCGGUGAGCCGAGAUCGUGCCAUUGCACUCCAGCCUGGGUAACAACAGCGAAACUCCAUCUCAAAAAAAAAUCUAUGUUUUCUAAAAAAAACUCUAAUUUUUUUUUUUUUUUUUGUCAGAGUUCGCUCUGUCGCCCAGGCUGGAGUGCAGUGGCACAAUCUUGGCUCACUGAAACCUCUGGCUCCAGGGUUCGAGCGAUUCUCCUGCCUCAG